CACUCCGAAGCCAAAUAAAUUUCACAUUUAUGAUAUAAAGGGAACGGUUCAGUGUGGGAAUAUUAAAGUGCCUGUGUGUUUGACGUCAGGGCUUUUCCACACAGCAAAUUUCUUCUCACCCUGGGAGUCACACUCAUUAAAAAAUUAAGGAUCUUUGCACUUUGGAAAAACUCAUUAAGGCACUCUUAGACUCCUGUCGCACUAGAAACAAGCCCAUAGAUAGAGGCAUGAAACAUCAUCCAAAGGUGACUGUCAUAUACACCUAUAUUAUACUUGACUUGAGAUGGACAGUUUAAAACAAAAAAUAUCAAAAACUGCUGCCUACAUUACCCACAAUGCAACUUACCAGUCGACAGUUGGAGAUUUGGCUGUGUCAUGCUAGUAGCUGCUUAUGUAGUCUCGAGCCUCUAGCCUGCAGCAGAGAUGAGGAGCGGGCUACAGAGGUCUGAGUUCACAGGAUCCGGGGCCUUUCUUUCUGCCUCUAAGAUCUUUUUCUGGCUCCAUCUCUGAAAGACCAGUCCAGGGAACCUCCUGGCACCACAUUCACUUUACACAUGGUGCGGGACCAUUUCUUGGCUGGAUGCACUGACUACCCAGAGAAUAAUUAACCACAGCAUGCUGAGGACACACAUCACUUGCAGACAGACCAGAGGCCGUUUCAGACUCAAAGCUGAUUCAAGAUGCCCCACCAUCCCCUUGAUGUCAGGACAUGAGAGCGUCAGGGGGUUACUCUGCCUCACUUACUCACAUGCACGUUGACCCACAUUACCCAACAGUGUGCUACCGCUCCUGUGUAUAUUAAUAACCACGUGCACAUCCUACCCUCUGUGCUCAGACCAGGAAAAGGCUUCAUGUUUCAGCUCAUUAUGUGAAACCUAUGGACUAAUGCUAUUCUACCUUUUUGUUAUUGCUAAUUCCAUGAAAGCCAAAGCCUGAUAUAUCUUAUUCUUCCAUGCCAUAUAGCUCCAUUAUUGUCCAGAAAACAAUUUAAAACACAUCAGUGAGCCACACUGUAGCACUGGGUGCCAUGUUCUUUCAGUACCACGAACAAACACGCAUACAAUGUAGUUUAUUCUGACUCAAUCCCUACAUACCUCAUCCUACUGCCUCAAAUAAAUGUGCAAAUAAGCAACUGUUUGCUAACAACUUUGCCCUAUUAACUUAAAAGCUGAGUGUACACAGUACUUGAUUAAAAAACUAUUUUGUCAUUUAUUUCUGCUCAUGUGUGUCAACCUGAUACAUUUGUGACUCAAAGUUAGUGGCUCUGAUCUAUAAAGACCUUUGUGAGUCACAGAAAAGUGGAGCUGAGUGUACUGAACGUGAGCUGGACCCCGUCUGAAAAUACCUGCUGUGCUUUACCUCUCUGUGGGUGGCAGGCAGAGUGGUUCACCUACAAACAUCUAAAGGUCAGCCAACAUGUACAGUAUGUGUAUUUGUAUGCACUCAUAUUGAGCUGCAGUCUGUUCUUGCAGGUCCCGUUACCUUUUCGGGUUACGUGGCCCUCCUGAUCCUGAUGAUGAAGUUAAACUGUCAUGUAGCAAUGUCAAUGGACCUUUAGCUGACCAUCCACCCCAAGUGACAGAACUGUGCUGUAAACACCUGCCUGUCUCAGUGUGCUUGACUGGCCAUGUUCUGCCUUUUGAACACGACAGGGAAAGCUUUUGAAAGACACCAGCGUGCCCGGGGCUUAUGUAACACUGAGAUCUGGCCAAAGAGAAUGCUGAGGGGCUUAAUCUGCCCUGGCACCAUGGGUGUGGAGGCUGUUCAAGAGCCCUGAGGGGACUGGAGAGAGUGAACCACCAUCUUACUCUGCAGUUCUGGCUUUUGUGGAUGCUGGAAAAAUCAUAGAGGUUAAAUGAGGGGGCAAAUGAGGUGACAAUAAGAACAUAAUUACAGUGGUAGGAAUGGUGGGUUUGUGGUCAGGAAAGUGGAGUCUAAGGUGGAUGGAAUAUUUGAGCAAACUGUAAAAUAGGGUUUUAAAGAGCCAUCUCUGUUUUAAUGAGUGGAGGGCCUCAUUCCUCUUAAGCAAGUGGUCAGAAUUACACCGGGGAUAAGUGGGGCUCCUGGCAGGGCUCCAGCAACUCACACCAGACUUUCUUUUCAUUUACUCUGAGAGCGAGAAAAGCAGAGAAAGGGAGAUGGAGACAGCUUUGCCCAGCCAACCAGGCAUACCCCACAGCCAGGCCAAAGAAAAUGCCCAUUCACUCUCACAUUAGCCGUCUGCAUGGCCACCUUCAAAGGAGGUCCCUCUCUGCCAAAUCUUCUCAGACUGUGUGCACACACUGACUGGCUGCCUCGUGAAAGCAUGAGUGCAGAAAACCAGUGCCAGUGAUUGCCCUGUGCAGCAGUUAAUUGAAGUAUUAUCAACAUAAGCACGGUCAGUUAAGCUGAUUAUAUAACAGUGCAGAAUCCUCCAUCGAGAUGCAUAUGAAAUAAAGCCAAGCGCUUUAAGUCACUUAUGAAUGGUGAAUGUUAUAAUUUCAAGAACAUUUCAGUUUUGGUAGUGUGCAGAAAACACAGACUAACAAAUGUGGCUGGAAAAGAGUUUUUGGCGAUCUAUUGAAUAUUCCUCUCAUACUCAGCAUGGAAUAAUUAUUAUGAUUAAUUAAGCUCCUUAAUUCAAAAAGAACAACAUUUGAUAAUGUGAAUCAAAAUGAGUGCACUAUUCAAUAAAUGACUAAACAAUUCCAUUGGCACAGUGAUACCCAGAUUAGAUGGCUGAGGGAGUCUUUGGCACCUCGCAGCUCUAUAGCCAAUAACGACAAAAGAAGCUGAAAAUAUGCAGAAACUAAACACACAGAGCCAACAUGGAACCAUGCCAAAGAUGUUAAUAUUCAUAUCAAGUGACAUGUUCUGAAUAUAAAGCUGAAGUUGUUUUAACUGAACCUGCAGAAUUGCGUCACACAUCACUCCUGUGUAACAUCUGUCUCUUGGAGAUUAGUGGUGACAAGGAGGGAAAUGUGUAGACCAUUACUGAUUGCUUCGUCACUACAAGACAUAUGGAAUUGUGAUUCAUAAUCAACUUGUUCUUGAUUAGGAGAAGCAUUAAAAACAUAUGCUCCAUUCAGCAGAUGGACAAACGCUUUAAUGUGAGUGACUUAAUAACAAUACAGACUAUGCAGCUUCCAUGGAAAUACAGUUUAUAGCUGUAGUCCAUCAAAAUUGUCAUUGUCAGUGUCACAUUUUCUGUACUCUCUCUUUGAUGCUGUUAUUUUUCUGAAUGAGGUUUUACAUUUUCAACCACAUAAUUUUAAAGAUAUAUCAAUUUUGUGUUUUAUGGCAGAUUUUAAACGUUCAAAAUUGUUUGUUAGCUUUGCUGAGCCGUUAAUGACACGUCAGACAACACUCAUCAGAUAUAUUAUCCAUCUGUUCUCAAAGUAGGCAAAGGAUGAACAAUGCAUGUCUUGUCAGGCCAGAUGCUCCUUUCAGGUAUGGAUGGUGAAGACAACUUUACAGUUAUUUUAAUAUGAGCUGAACGUACCGUUCCUCUUCUUUAUCAACUCAGUUUUUGAUAAUUGAGUGAUGGCCUGUCAUAAAUGUCAAAUUGUGUUUUUCAAAUGCACAGGAACCAUCUCAUGUGGAAAGACAGCAUCCAUAACUCUUGCAACCAUGUGUUUCUGAUCAAUUUUACAAACUAAACAGGCAAUAGGAGGAACUCUACAGUUCACAACCUUUGCAGAAUAGCUACAAUAAUCUUCACUCUUCCACCUAUUUACUCUGUUAUUCUCUCUGUACUUUGCCUGUAUCAUCUUAGAUUUGCUACCUUAGAAUCUUAGAGUAAGGGUGUACUUCAUUGUUGACUGUUAGUUUAGCUUCUAGCCUAGCCUAGCUUACUAGCUUAGCUUUCAUUAAUCCACAAUUAAAGUAGAUGGCUGUGUCUUUACCCUCCUCUUUAGUUAGUAUAAUUAUUGUUUACAACAAAUUAGGUCUUACAUUAUAUAUGUUUUGGCCAUAAUUUACACCAAAUGGAGACUGUACUCCCAAUAAGGACAACAGCAUCAUUCAUCAUUUCAAAUGACACAUUCAAAUGACUAAGCUUUCUAUCAGCCAUAGCAAUUAUCAAAAGAAAGGAGAAAGUAAGGUGACAUCACAAGAUUGAGGUGGAUGGAUGGAUCAACAAAACAUUGGACUUCAACACAGUAGAAUAGUAGUUUGUUUGCAGCAAAACCUUAACCAUUCUGUCAUGUCAUAAAAUGGACAAAUGAUCUCAUCCUGCUGAAAGAGGCAUCAGGUCUGAAAGCAUUGUAGAGGACAUCGACAAACUAUGUAUUUUGACGUUUAAUUUAGAGGACUUGUUGCAAAAAUGAGCACCCCCACAAAGUAUUUGGAAUAGAAAAUGAAGAUGAACAGUGAGCUUAUUCCUCAAACAUCCAUCACGGUUUACAGACCAACUUCUUGAUUCAGCUUUGACCUACCAUAUUUCCUGAAGUUGUGCACACACACUUUUCCUGUUCAACAAGAGACUAUUACAUUUUGGGUGUGCUUGCUUUCAGUUUUACUUUCAAAUAAAGAGAAUGCUUGUUUAAAACCUU